CCACACUCUCUCCCUUUCCCUCCUGUUAUGAACUGAAGUGUGUCCCCCCAAAAUUUAUGCGUUAAAGGCUUAACCCCCACUACUGUAUUUUGGAUAUAGGGCCUUUAAUGUGGUAGCUAAGUUAAAAUGAGGCCCUUAGUGUGGGCCCUAAUCAACUUUGACUGAUGUCCUUAUAAGAAGAGGAAAAUUGGAUACAGAAAGAGACACAAGGGAUGUGAGUGCCCAGAGGAAAGUCCGUGUGAGGACACAGUGAGAAGGUGGCCAUCUGCAAGCCAAGGAGCGGGGCCUCAGAAGAAACCAACCUGCUCACAUCUUGAUCUUGGACUUUCAACCUCAGAAACGGCAUCUUGCUGUGACCAGUUUGAUGGUAAAGGAUUCAAGAGACAUAUCACAGGUGCAGAGGCAAAGAACAACCAGGAAACCUCUCGUUGGGAGCCAAUUCUGCUCAAGAAGAAAGAAGUUAUUGACGGAAUGUAAAUCACUG
rnacentral:lncRNA from 1 species